AGCUCUCGAAAUCCGUGCAGAGAUUUCGUCAGACAUCAACCCAUUAGGGCUGAUGAGACUUCCAAGGUAAGUGAGGUU
rnacentral:pre_miRNA from 1 species